AAUCUUAUGGAAUCAGAGACCCAUUAAAAGUGGUGCCUUUCUUCCUCUCGGUUCUCUUCUCUUCCUCAAAUACUAUUCUUUUCCUCUUCAUAAAAUUUCUCAAAUACUAACCGCUUGAGAGUCCCCUGCAUCCUUCCAACCUCUUCUGAAACAUAUAGAGUCCGUUUGGUCUACCAGGAUUUUCUUUCUCUUCUUUCCUGAUUGAGGGCUCCCAGGGGUCACGCUCACUUGCUUGAUAAGCUUUUCUUUUGUUUAAAUUUCGUUUUUUGUUCGAAUUUUGACUUUCAUCUUCUGGGUUAUGUUUGUUUUGCAGAAUUCGAUUGCAAGUACAAUUAUGAUGAAGCUAUCGAACUGUGGUUCUCUGCCCAAAGAUCCUGCAUAUAAAAGGCAAUGUUUCUGCAACCUUAUAUCUGCAGCUGCUCUCCUUUGUAUAGUUUUCUUCAUGGGGAGUGCGUUUGUUGCAAUUGAUAUUAAGGAGAAAGUAUCAACUUGGGGAGCAGCUAAUUCUGUGCAGAACAGUCAAACAAAUUUGGAGACUAAACGCAAUUUAGAGACCACUAAAUCCAGUUUAUGCGAGAGUCAAUGGAAGCCUGCAGGAAGUGAACCAUUGCCAAAAGGCAUUAUUAGCCAAACUUCGAACUUUGAAAUGCAACCUCUGUGGGGCUCUCCAGAAAGAAAGGUUAAAACCAAACAUUCAAAGAGCUUAUUGGCAAUACCUGUCGGAAUAAAGCAAAAGGGAGCUGUUAGUCAAAUUGUAGAGAAGUUCCCUUCCAAUAAUUUCACUGUAAUGCUUUUCCACUAUGAUGGUGUUGUGGAUGAAUGGAGUGACGUACGGUGGAGUGAUAGUGCCUUGCAUAUCUCUGCAAUCAAUCAAACAAAAUGGUGGUUUGCUAAGCGUUUCUUACAUCCAGAUGUAGUUGCUGAGUAUAAUUACAUCUUCCUUUGGGAUGAAGAUCUUGAAGUGGAAAAUUUUCAUCCCCUAAGAUAUUUAUCAAUCAUCAAAAGGGAAGGACUAGAGAUAUCACAACCUGCCUUGGACACUGCAAAAUCUGCGGUUCAUCAUGGAAUCACUGCACGUUGGAGAAAAGGAGAUGUACACAGAAGAAUUUACAAGCUUGGAGGUGGUGGGAGAUGCUACGAGAAUAGUACUACUCCUCCAUGCACAGGGUGGGUAGAAAUGAUGGCUCCUGUGUUUUCAAGAGAUGCCUGGCGUUGCACAUGGCAUAUGAUUCAAAAUGACUUGGUUCAUGCUUGGGGUCUAGACACGAAGCUUGGUUAUUGUGCGCAGGGUGAUAGGAGCAAAAAUGUUGGAGUAGUGGACAGUGAAUACAUAGUUCAUAGGGGAAUCCCUACACUCGGUGGGCUUGAUGAGAAGAAGCGAAAUGCUGAUAGUGCUAGUGGUGCAUCUCAGACAAAGCCUUCUAACUUGGAAAAGGUGAAGGUGCAUCAUGGAUCUUCUACUUCAAAAGACAGAUCUGCAAUUACUUUCGGCUUAUGAUUGUUAUAUUAAUAUCCGAAAACUAAGGCAGUGCCUCCAAGUAAAGGGAUUAUAUUGAAUGGAUUAAACGAAAGAUGGUGAUUCUUUCUGAAAAUGUGAGGAAGCGUUCUUAUUUUGAAUUGAAUCUUUUCAGAAAGAGAUGGCAAAAGGCUGUCAUAGAGGACAAGUGCUGGGUCGACCCAUACUCUUGAUCCCUCAGAGAUCUCAAGUCAAUAGUCCAGAUUUCAUGUUUUUCUUUCAGAACCUUCUCAAGAUUCUAUAUGAAGUUAAUCUCAAUUCAUACACUGGUGUUCCAUCCAAUCAGGGAACCACAGGAGACUCAUUGUGUACAUAGGUACUAUCUACAGGCUGGCAUACAGGGUUUGCUAGUGUCCGAAAUUUUGCAGUAAUGCAGACAUUUACAAGUACAAAGCUCUUGAGAUCUACACCAAGAAAACAUAAGCAAAGAAUGUAAUUAUAUUUUUCAUUCUUUUUUAAUAAUAACAAAUAUAUCUUUGAAAGUUGUGGAAUGUUGCUUUGUACAUUACAUUGUAGUUUUAAAAUAGCCUUUAACAUA